AAUCUUGCGCAAUGGGCGAAAGCCUGACGCAGCAACGCCGCGUGGGGGACGAAGGCCCUCGGGUCGUAAACCCCUUUUGCGAGGGAAGAAGUUCUGACGGUACCUCCCAAGAAAGCACCGGCUCACUCCGUGCCAGCAGCCGCGGUAAUACGGAGGGUGCAAGCGUUGCUCGGAAUCAUUGGGCGUAAAGCGUACGCAGGCGGUCCGUUAAGUCGGGUGUGAAAGCCCGGGGCUCAACCCCGGAAUUGCGCCCGAAACUGGCGGGCUCGAGUGCGGGAGAGGGAAGCGGAAUUCCUGGUGUAGAGGUGAAAUUCGUAGAUAUCAGGAGGAACACCGGUGGCGAAAGCGGCUUCCUGGCCCGACACUGACGCUCAUGUACGAAAGCGUGGGGAGCAAAC
rnacentral:rRNA from 1 species